rnacentral:lncRNA from 1 species
AGGAGCCUGAGAACAAAAGGUGGUCUAGUUGCCUGGAUCCAGGGUGUUAUGUGGAUCUUUAUCGCUCAGGUUUCUCAAGCAGGUUGUUUCCUGAGAUAGGUUUGGUCUGGUGAGCCAGAUUUUAAUCCCAAAUGUGUAAAGCACAGAGCUUAAAGUUGAGUAUGGAGAUCUACCCAUUUUGGAUUUUAACCACAAAAAGAAUGACACGAAUGAGGAAGAAGUCAAACUCAAAUAAAAAGAAACUUUACACAUUUGGAGA